AUGAAAUGGUCCGAGGUUCGAUUUCGAGUAACCUCAUUUUGGUGACACUUUUUCUUUUUUUCCUAUUUUUCUUCUUCUAGCGAACUCUUCUUCCUCCUCACCUUUCAUACGAAUGUCUCUUCUAGCUCAUAUUCUGCAACUAAUUCUCUAUCCUUCAACACUGUGAAGAGAUCAUCUUCUGCAAGUAACUCUCCAUCCUUUAACAGAAUUCCCUGUUCUUAUACGUAUAUAACAGGGUUUGAAGUGAGAAGAGAUAAUCAGAGAAAUUGGAAAAAUUAGGGUUACUGUGUUGAAAUUUAAGAAAUUAGAAAUCGAGAUAAAUAAACAGGGAAUUAAUAAAGUUAGAUAAAGUGAUGAAUUUUUGUUUCUAUUGGUUUGAAGGGGAUUUGUGUUAUCUCAAUUCUACAAAUUAGGGUUUUGGAAAUUAAGUGAGAAUUGAAUUAGGGUUCUUCUGUGAAUCAAGGAUACUGAUGAAGAUUACUGGGUAUUAGUUGAAUUGACCUGUUGGGUGUUGAUAGUCUUGAGAUGAUUUGUUGAGCCGAGUCAAAUAAAGAAGAAGUUGAAUUCAAUUUGAUCGAGAGAAAAGAGAAAACUAUUUUGAGUUUUUUCAAGGGGAUCCAACAAAGCCUCGAGAAAAACAGAUAGCCUGGAAGUUUGAGAAUUGUUAAUGCUUCAGUAAAGUGCAACCAGAUUUGGAGUUUUGAACUGUCAAACAUCUGAUGGAUAAAAUUUUCAAGAAUUACAUUGCCCAUCAAUCAAUACUCGGGAUUCUAACUGGAAGCGAGGAAGGUAUACUUGGAAUAUAAUUUCUGGGACUGGGAGGUCUGUAAGGGAAUGCAACUGAAAAGAUUUUCUUGGUGAGACCAACUUGCUGCUCAUGAUUUUAAUGAGAAAACGUUCUAGGCCAAGGGGUUUAGGAAGGUAUAUAAAGGAGUCUGUGGAGAUAAUUGAUGAUUAUUGUACAUGUAUUCUGUUUGAUCGUUGUUUUUUUAGGAUGUAUGUGUAUAGUUAAGAUGUUCUUCAAUGAAUGAACGGCAGACAUUGAUCGUUGACUGA